GCUCUGAUGGCCUAGUGGUAAGAGCGUCGGCCCCGGUUGCGGGAGGUCGCGGGUUCGAAUCCCAGGCGAGUCAUACCA